UCCAAUAUGGCCUCACGCAUUCUAUCACAAGUACCAUACCUAUAGAGACGUUUGCAGUGUCGCUUAUUAAAUAAUAUAAAUCAUUAUAAAAAUCUUAAAUACAUGUUGAAUAUGUUGAGUUUUUUUUAUCACAUGGCAACAGUAUCAUUAACUUAGUUAAUAAUCAAGUGUUUUUAAUCAUAUUUGCGUUUAUGAUCAGUUUACAUUGCAUCGGAUCAUAUUGGAUCGAAAAUUUAAUAGAUACAAUUUUUGCACUUCCUUCGUGAAUCUUGUAAUAUCGAAGAAUUACGAAAGACAACUAUACAAUAUGAACGUCGUUCCAGGAACAGCUUCCUUAUUAGGAGAACUUGACAAAAAACUAAUGGUUUUACUGAGAGAUGGUAGAACAUUAAUUGGAUAUCUCAGAAGCGUCGAUCAAUUUGCUAAUAUAGUACUCCAUCGUACCAUUGAAAGAAUUCAUGUCGGUAAAGAAUAUGGGGAUAUUCCAAGAGGCAUAUUUAUUGUCAGAGGAGAGAAUGUUGUCCUACUAGGAGAAAUAGAUAGGGAAAAAGAAAAAGAUUUACCGUUAACGGAAGUAUCAGUGGAUGAUAUUCUAGAUGCACAAAGAAGAGAACAAGAAUUGAAACAAGAUCAAAAGCGUUUGAUGAACAAGGCUUUGAAAGAGCGUGGUCUUUCAUAUAUUCCAGAUUUGGGUCAUGAUGAUAUGUUCUGACCCACAUCUACAUCUCCAGGCACUACAUUGGAAUCAUCUCCCACAUCUUCACACAAUUCUGAAAAUUAUGAUGUCUGUUGUACAUCCAUGUCUUUCUAUUAAAUACUAUAGAAUAUACAUGAUUCUGAAUAACGAAAACGUAUUUAGACUCUGGCAUUGCUUGUAUAUGAGCAUAAAGCUGAGCAAGAGCUGCCUGAGUAUCUUGAGUGGAAUUAGCUUUUGCUGUCAAUUUAUGGUCAACAAAACUGAAUACAGUAUGCGCCGUGCCUGUAGUGUCUGGUACAGAUUCAUUCAGCUGCAAUAAAAAGAAAAAAAAAAAAAAAAAAAUUGAAUUAAUAAA